AGGACGCGGAGGAGCGGGAGAGAGAUGCUCAGCCGCUCCUCCUCCUCCGGGGCCAGGACUUGCUUCUUAUUUGCUGGGUGCGAUCUCCCUGCAGCCCUCAGAGGCGGUGGCCGCUGCUGCUUUCAUUUCUGGGCUGCCGUAACCAGAAAUGCCUGCUGCCGGCCGCCCGCCCGCAGGCUCUGCUCCAGCCAGGUUGUGUCCUGACCUGGAGUUGAAGGGAGGCAACCGCAGAUGGAAAUCUUGUCUGAAAUCUAUUCUCCAUGUUGUCAAGGGCUGGUAAUGGGCUCAGUCUACCCGGACAUGGGGCUGCAUCAUCCCAGUACUCAAUCCAGAGGGAAGGGUGUCUAUUUGGUGAUCAAGACACCAUGGGGGUGUUAUGGUUUGGAUCUGAAAUGUUGCCCAAAGACUCAUGUGUUGAGGGCUAGUUCCCCAAUGCAUUUGGGGAAGUGAAUGGAUUAUGAGGUUCUGAUCUCAUCAAUGCAUGAAUCCAUUGAUAGGUUCACAGUUUAAGGGACUACUGGAAGAUUCUGGAAACUUUAGGAGGUGGGACCUGGCUGAAGGACACAGGUGUCACUAGUCGGGUGCCUUUGAAGGGCAUAUUUUGUCCUUGCCCCUUCUUCCCAGCCAACAUCCUUCUCUGCCCCAUGUUCCUAGUCAUGAUGUUCUUCCUUUCCUCAGGCCCAAAGAUGGUGCUGGCUGGCCAUAGACUGAAAAAUCUGAAAUUUUUCCUUUGCUACUCAGCUCCUCUGCAAAGGAAUUUUAUAAGGCACCAAGACAGAGGAGCCGAGUGAUCAUCCAGUGCAAGGGGAAGCCCUUGAAGGAUACAAGCAGACAACAAUAAAAGACACAGAACGCAGAACAUUACAGCGGGGAGCAAGGGGAAAGAAAGCCAGGAAACCACACCACUCUCUGCUCUGUGUACAGAAGGUCCCUCCAGAUGCCCAUUGUCGCCCUGGGCAGGAACUGACAUUAAUUGAGUGCUUAAUAUUGAAGACUUGGGCCAGGCUGGAUCUCAGAGGCCAAAUCUGUACCGAAAGGCUCACCUGCUGGGAACCUCUCUAACUGGCACUGGAAGAUCCACAGAAUAAAACGGAACUGUGGUGUCAGCUAUCCCAGGCUUCCAACCUGGGAAAUAAAGAAAGGGCAUCUUCCUAAACUGUAUUCCAGACAACUGAAUUGUGACCUCAGGAACCGAUAUUCAAAGACGAUCAGUUAGAAGGGGAGUGACACUGUAUCCUAGAGUUGAUCCCUCCUUUAUGGCACAGGAGCUGUGUUGGAAGAGUUGUUGAAUGACUGUGGCCUCAGUUUCCUUGUCUGUGAACUAGGGCUUAUCCCACAGUUUAAAAAUUAAAUGAGUGCCAAGGCAGGUGACAAGUGUUAUGUACCAGAUCUGUAGUGACCAAUGAACCCAGAAUAUUCAGCACAAGAUGUCCCCUGAAGCUCACACUCGUGUUAGGGAAGAGGGAGAGGGACCAUCCUUCUGCAGAGGGAUCCUUACUUAUAGCCACCUGUGCAGAGCCGGCUACCAAGGUGAGGUGGAUCUGCCAACAUGGCUGAAGGUUUGUCAAGCAAAGAAAACCUAAACAUAUACACAGACAACUUUGAGGCCUGGGGUAAACUAUGUGAUUAGAGGUUCUUGUUAGUUUAGCAUCUUUUCAAAAUUUACUUGAUUUAGUCCUAUCAAUUUCUCAACGUAGGGCUGGCAUAUUUGCAUAUUCUUAACCUAGCGCCCAAAUGAGGAGAUGCUGCAGUCCAUAUAUGCUUUAUACUUACAAAAGUUUCACCUCAAAUUCUGCAGAACACUUCUGGCAUAGUAACCCUUUAAUGUUGUAUUUAUGGAUGUCUAUGCAAAGAAGAAAACAUGUAUUUUUUUCCAUCGCCCCUUAUCAUGAAAGCGGUUAUUUACAUGCAGAUGCAAAUAAGUUCAAUGUAACCAGCUAUGGUAAGUAGCCAACUGUUAAAACAUCUUAGACUACAUGUUAAAUCUUUUCUGAAGAAGCCAAAAACCAUAUUGCUUUGCAUAUCAGUAUUUACCAAAAACGCACAGAUAGGUAAUGCUCAGCAGGAUGAAAACCAAUUAUGUUUAUAUCAACUUAUAUCAUCACUCUUUCCCAAACAUUUACUAUGUAACAGAGAACUAAGAAACUGUUGGUUCUUCUCUGUAUAAAUGAUAAUCCAACAACACAAAAAAGGAGCGUUGUCAUGGUGGAAUUGAAGUUAUUGGGUGAUAAGCUGUGACUAUGAGUUAGUGAUAAAAAUUAAGUACCUUAUAGAGCUACAGCCACUAUUUCUAUUUUUUUAUUUCAUUGGUGUUCCCAAUUUCAUGCUCAAAAAUAAACAUUUACAGUGUAAGUCACAGGGAACAGAUCAAUUUUGCUCAAAGGCACCACUUACUAAAAUCUGAAAUUUUAAAAACACAAAAUUGGGGGAAAUUAAAAAUUUUGAUUAAUUUUAUUAUAUACCCAUGAUACAAAUUUCACAUAUACUUAACUUUUUCUUUUCUUUUAAAUGUUUCCUUUUCUGCCUGUUUACACUUACCUACUAACAAAAGUUGAAGGAUUGGGAAUUAGGAAACUCCUUAUUCUUCUUAUUUUGACCCUGGUAUUAUUUUAGACAAGUUAUUUCUCUACAAAAUGAAAAAUGUUCCUUUUCACUAUCAAAUUAUUUCUUAGGGGUCUGGGGC